rnacentral:rRNA from 1 species
CCUACGGGAGGCAGCAGUGAGGAAUAUUGGUCAAUGGACGAGAGUCUGAACCAGCCAAGUAGCGUGAAGGAUGACUGCCCUAUGGGUUGUAAACUUCUUUUAUAAAGGAAUAAAACGAGGCACGUGUGCCUUUUUGCAUGUACUUUAUGAAUAAGGAUCGGCUAACUCCGUGCCAGCAGCCGCGGUAAUACGGAGGAUCCGAGCGUUAUCCGGAUUUAUUGGGUUUAAAGGGAGCGGAGAUGGGUUGUUAAGUCAGUUGUGAAAGUUUGCGGCUCAAACGUAAAAUUGCCAUUGAUACUGGCAGUCGUGAGUACAGUUGAGGUAGGCGGAAUGCGUGGUGUAGCGGUGAAAUGCUUAGAUAUCACGAAGAACCCCGAUUGCGAAGGCAGCUUACUAAACUGUGACUGACAUUGAUGCUCGAAAGUGUGGGUAUCAAACAGGAUUAGAUACCCCUGUAGUC